ACGCUCGACACCUACGGGGCAGCAGUGGGGAAUAUUGCACAAUGGGGGAAACCCUGAUGCAGCGACGCCGCGUGAGCGAAGAAGUAUUUCGGUAUGUAAAGCUCUAUCAGCAGGGAAGAAAAUGACGGUACCUGACUAAGAAGCCCCGGCUAACUACGUGCCAGCAGCCGCGGUAAUCUGAGCGGGCUGGCAAGGC
rnacentral:rRNA from 1 species